AUGUUGCGUGCCCGGCUGUAGCAACAACACAAGAAAGGACAAAAACAUAUCAUUCCACGGAUUCCCCAAGGACAACAAGCUGAAGCAAGAAUGGGUGCGCAGGAUAAAUCGGCAAGGCUCGGAAGGACGAUUUACCUUGUGGAAGCCUUCAAAGCACCACAAAAUAUGUGGUGCGCAUUUCAACACAAGCGGGCGCAAGGGAUACAUGGAUCGUCUCCCCACGAUCUUUCCACACCGAGUGUAUGCAGAACGGACACCUGCUGUGGUUACGGGCGCUGGGAAACGACGCCGUAUAAAGCGCGUCGUGGCGAUGUCGCAGGAAGCCUAUAUCCAGGACGAACUCUGCAUCUGCGGCACGGUUGAAGUGGAAUCUCAGCAACACAACCUCUCAGCUACUUCACCUGUGCUUCUUCCAGCUGCUUCUCCAUCAAGCAUGCAUCCCCAGCUACCAGCAGGUAACCUCGCUGUGAAAUGUUGUGCAUAUGUACAGCAAGACCUAUUGAAAAAUGCAACUAGAAUGGAAUAGAUUGAGGAAUUGGAAAUGAGAGCACGAAGAUAUAAUCCUGGCAUUGUGUUUUGCACCUGCUGUUAAGCUCUUGCCUAUGGCUUGUUUCUGUCAUUUUAUUUUAUUUUGCAUGCUUAUUUUUACUAUAAACAACUUCAUAUAAAUCUGGCUUCACUUUUCCCACCUGACCUUGCUAUCAUAUAAAAACUGUUUGCUAAAUGCAGCCUACCAUAUUUGUUUUAAAUUGCUUCAUUCCAGACUACGACCAUAUGUAUUCCAUGGGACCAGCA
rnacentral:lncRNA from 1 species